rnacentral:tRNA from 1 species
GCCCAGCGCCCCGCGCGGCGCAGACCCUGUCGGCCUCCCCGGUGCCGGCCUCCGGGGAGGCGGCUGCUUCCUGGUGGGGGCGCCACUUUCUUGAGAGCGCCCUUUACCCGCCGGGAAGAGCCCUUUCCCUCUUUUUGCCUUUCAUCCCGGAGUGUGUUAGUCCUCUAUCCUAAGUAAGGGAGGAAGCCCGUCGCCUGAAGAGGCCCCAACCUAUAACCCGGAGUGGUCUCCACUUGGCACAGUCCUAACCUCACGAAGGAGCUUUUAUCCCGAAGAACUCCAAACCCCUUUCCCCGAGAAAUUCCUUCCCUGCAUGCAUUACCAAGUGCUGCUUACUCCCUCGUCUCCCUCACCCGCCACGCCAGUUCCACUCAGUCCCUACCACUUCUUAACCCGAGAAGUCCCCUUAGCCGCCACCGUGAGGGCCCAGACGCUUUCAUCAAUUGCUUGGUCCGAAGGCCUUGCCAUCGAUUCUAAGACACCCCCUCAUCCACCCACACAAGCAGGAGACUCCCGCCGGGUCAGCCGGUGCACCCGACUCUUUUCCUUUGAGUGGCAUAGCGGAGAGGUAAGGAGCGAGGCGGGGUAGUCUCAAGGUGUGUGUAUGUGGGCCGCGGCCCGGCUUCCCACGGCCCCGCGCCGUCCGCGAUCUCCGUGCGGACCCUUUCUGUAAGCGCGCAGCAAAGCGCGAUUUUUGGGAGUCACGGUGGCCGAGUGGUUAAGGCGUUGGACUCGAAAUCCAAUGGGGUUUCCCCGCACAGGUUCGAAUCCUGUUCGUGACGGUGGCUUUUUUUCGCCUCCAUCUUCCUAGCAUAUAAGA